rnacentral:rRNA from 1 species
GGACUACUGGGGUAUCUAAUCCUGUUUGAUCCCCACGCUUUCGUGCCUCAGCGUCAAUACUCGUCCAGAUAGCCGCUUACGCCACUGGUGUUCCUGUCAAUAUCUACGCAUUUCACUGCUACACUGACAAUUCCGCUAUCCUCUCCGAGAUUCGAGCGAUAUAGUUUUAAAAGCAAUUCCAAGGUUGAGCCCUGGGCUUUCACUUCUAACUUUUACCGCCGCCUACGCACGCUUUACGCCCAGUGAUUCCGAACAACGCUCGCCCCCUUCGUAUUACCGCGGCUGCUGGCAC